AUGAGACCCAAGAAACCACCACCUCCUUCCGCUCCUGUCAUCAAACAAGGGGCAGGUACCACAGAGAGAAAACAUGAAAUUAAAAAGAUACCUCCUGAAAGACCGGAAACACUUCCGAACAGAACUGAAGAAAAAGAAAGACCAGAACGAGAGCCAAAACUGGAUUUGCAGAAGCCCUCUGUUCCUGCCAUUCCACCAAAAAAGCCUCGGCCACCUAAGGCCAAUUCUCUCAGCUGGCCUGGUGCGCUGCCUCCGAGAAGGCCAGAGCGACCGGUGGGCCCACUGACACAUACCAGGGGUGACGGUCAAAAGAUUGAUUUGGCGGGCAGUACGCUAUCCAGCAUCUUGGACAAGGAUCUCUCAGAUUGCAGCAAUGACAUUGAUCUAGAAGGUUUUGACUCUGUGGUAUCAUCUACUGAGAAACUCAGUCACCCAACCACGAGCAGGCCAAAAGCUACAGGGAGGCGGCUGCCAUCCCAGUCGCUCACAUCUUCUUCCCUUUCAAGCCCCGAUAUCUUUGACUCCCCAAGUCCCGAAGAAGAUAAAGAGGAACACAUUUUGCUUGCGCACAGAGGACUAGACGUAUCCAAGAAGACUUCAAAGACUGUUACCAUAUCCCAAGUGUCCGACAACAAGGCAUCCCUGCCACCCAAGCCAGGGAUCAUGGCAGCCGGCAGUGGUGGACCAGCCUCUCUGGCC